UACGGGGGGGGCAAGCGUUGUUCGGAAUUACUGGGCGUAAAGGGCUCGUAGGUGGCCAACUAAGUCAGACGUGAAAUCCCUCGGCUUAACCGGGGAUCUGCAUCCCAAACUGCUUGGCUUGAGUACGGGAGAGGAUAGGGGAAUUCCUGGUGUAGCGGUGAAAUGCGUAGAUAUCAGGAGGAACACCGGUGGCGAAGGCGCCUAUCUGGCCCGAUACUGACGCUGAGGCGCGAAAGCUAGGGGAGCAAACGGG
rnacentral:rRNA from 1 species